rnacentral:rRNA from 1 species
AACCUGGUUGAUCCUGCCAGUAGUCAUAUGCUUGUCUCAAAGACUAAGCCAUGCAUGUCUAAGUACAAAUGCUAUACAAUGAAACUGCGAAUGGCUCAUUAAAACAGUUAUAGUUUAUUUGGUAAUCGAAUUUACAUGGAUAACCGUGGUAAUUCUAGAGCUAAUACAUGCUAUUAAGCCUGACUUCUUGAAAGGCCGUAUUUAUUAUGAUAACAGACCAAUAUUCCUCGUGUCUAUUGUGGUGAAUCAUAGUAACUUUUCGGAUCGCAUGGGUUUUGCCCGCGACAAACCAUUCAAGUUUCUGCCCCAUCAGCUUUCAAUGGUAGUGUAUUGGACUACCAUGGCUUUCACGGGUAACGGAGGAUUAGGGUUCGAUUCCGGAGAGGGAGCCUGAGAAACGGCUACCACAUCUAAGGAAGGCAGCAGGCGCGUAAAUUACCCAAUUCUGACUCAGAGAGGUAGUGACAAGAAAUA